GAAGGAAGGAGGAAGAGACGCACAAAGGUGAGACAGAGGCAUUUGUAGUAUAGCUUGUUCUGUUUUCUGUUUUUUUUGUGUUUUUGCUUGCUGCUUAUUGUUAUUUUUAUACAGACU
rnacentral:ribozyme from 2 species